GGAAGACUGUAGCUCAGUGGGAGAACAUGUGCUUGGCAUGCAGAAGGUCCCAGGUUCAAGCUCUGGCAUCUCCA
rnacentral:tRNA from 1 species